UGGGGAAUAUUGGACAAUGGGCGCAAGCCUGAUCCAGCAAUACCGCGUGUGUGAAGAAGGCCUGAGGGUUGUAAAGCACUUUCAAUGGGGAGGAAAAAGCGUAGAUUAAUACUCUGCGUAUUGACAUUACCCAUACAAGAAGCACCGGCUAACUCCGUGCCAGCAGCCGCGGUAAUACGGAGGGUGCAAGCGUUAAUCGGAAUUACUGGGCGUAAAGCGUGCGUAGGCGGCCUGUUAAGUCAGAUGUGAAAGCCCUGGGCUCAACCUGGGAACUGCAUUUGAAACUGGCAGGCUAGAGUUAGGUAGAGGGGAGUGGAAUUUCCGGUGUAGCGGUGAAAUGCGUAGAUAUCGGAAGGAACACCAGUGGCGAAGGCGGCUUCCUGGUCCAACACUGACGCUGAGGCGCGAAAGCGUGGGGAGCAAACAGGAUUAGAUACCCCUGUAGUCCCUGAGCGGGCUGGCAAGGCGCAU
rnacentral:rRNA from 1 species